AGUGUUUUAGAUGGGAGCCAUUAUUGAAAUUAGGUGGCCGGUGCAGAUCCCGGUGCUUUUUAAUUAGACGGAAAGACCCCGAGAGCUUUAACAAUUUUGUUUUACUUGGGGCAAGGGCAUAUGCUUCAUAUGCUUUUGGAUCCUUUGGGAAGAAGGCUUAGUUACCUCGGGGAUAACUAGGUAAGAGACGAGGAGAGGUCUUAUCGAUUUGUCUGUUUGCUAUCUCGAUGUUGACUUAGGGUUAGCGUGGGGGUGUAGGAGCUCUCAUGUUAGGGUCUGUUCGACCGUAGUUCCCUUCAUGAGCU
rnacentral:rRNA from 1 species